rnacentral:rRNA from 1 species
UACGUAGGCAGCAAGCGUUGUUCGGAAUUACUGGGCGUAAAGAGUGUGUAGGCGGUGCUGUAAGUUUGGUGUGAAAUCUCCCGGCUCAACCGGGAGGCUGCAUCGAAUAUUGGAAUGCUAGAGGGUGGGAGAGGUAAGCGGAAUUCCUGGUGUAGCGGUGAAAUGCGUAGAUAUCAGGAGGAACACCUGUGGUGUAGACAGCUUACUGGACCACUUCUGACGCUGAGACACAAAAGCGUGGGUAGCAAACAGG